rnacentral:pre_miRNA from 1 species
AGAAACAGUUUCUUAACUUUUAACUAAAAAAGCUAAGAACCGGUUCUUAAAUAAAGACUCUAAGAACCGGUUCUUAGCUUUUUUAGUUAAAAAUUAAGAAACAGUUUUU